UAGGGAAUCUUCCACAAUGGACGCAAGUCUGAUGGAGCAACGCCGCGUGAGUGAAGAAGGUUUUCGGAUCGUAAAGCUCUGUUGUUGGUGAAGAAGGAUAGAGGCAGUAACUGGUCUUUAUUUGACGGUAAUCAACCAGAAAGUCACGGCUAACUACGUGCCAGCAGCCGCGGUAAUACGUAGGUGGCAAGCGUUGUCCGGAUUUAUUGGGCGUAAAGCGAGCGCAGGCGGAAUGAUAAGUCUGAUGUGAAAGCCCACGGCUCAACCGUGGAACUGCAUCGGAAACUGUCAUUCUUGAGUGCAGAAGAGGAGAGUGGAACUCCAUGUGUAGCGGUGGAAUGCGUAGAUAUAUGGAAGAACACCAGUGGCGAAGGCGGCUCUCUGGUCUGCAACUGACGCUGAGGCUCGAAAGCAUGGGUAGCGAACAGGAUUAGAUACCCUGGUAGUCCAUGCCGUAAACGAUGAGCGCUAGGUGUUGGGGACUUUCCGGUCCUCAGUGCCGCAGCAAACGCAUUAAGCGCUCCGCCUGGGGAGUACGACC
rnacentral:rRNA from 1 species